AUGGACCCCAUGAAGAACCGGGUGCGAGCCUUCACCGAAGGUGCCGUGAUAAUGGUAUGCCCGGUUCUUCUUGCCAUCUCACUGAAGAAGGUCGACGUGAAGAACGAGGGAGACGGGUUCGUACGAUUCAGCAUCUCUACACUGGCCACCUCCACUCUGGAAGCCGGUUUACUACCCUUCAUCUGCCUCUCGUUAGCGAAGCUAACACACACGUUCGUCGCGGACUUCCUGUUUGUGGCCUCGAAGUUGCUCAUCCACCUCUGCGCCCUUCUGCUGACGGUCCUGGUCUAUGGCAUCAUACUUCUUAUCGAUCUGGAAAACCUCAGUUACAUGCUUGUUCUCUUUCCCUACACAUUUGCAAUCUUGUGGUGCUACAACAAGACCAGGCGGAAUGGCCGUAAUGAGGAUGCACAGCUGUACACGGAAUAUCAACAAGCUAGGCUGGAAAACUCGAUCGAUUUCGCAGCCGCUGUCACUGCGCUUCUGUUUCUGGGGUUGGAAGGCCUGGCGGCGUUAGAGCUACCGAGCAGCAGCGACGCACCACCAGGACUGCUUGUUGCGUCGCUUCCGCUGAGCUUCUGCACUUGCCUGACGGGCGUAUUCAUCAUGCUGUUGGCCACGGUGCCUCCAACCACAACACAAGAGGAAAGCAACGACGCGUGCAACACCGUCGAGGUUCUCAACUUGGGUCUGGCCUUCGCGUUCUCCCUCAAUGUCUUCUUCUUCACGGCUGCCUUGCUGGGAGAGCUGGCGUUGCUAGUGUGGGUUAUGCCGCUGGUUUCAUUUUUCGCAUGGAUAUUCGCAACUCUUUUCCAGCAGAACGUGGGCGAAGAUGUUAAGCCGGCGUCCAUGGAGCUGACCAAGGUCACCUUUGCGGGCUUCUUGGUUGUCUUGGCGGCCAUCAGUAACACUCCAGUCAGCAGCUACGCCUCUGCGUUCGUGCUCUUCAGCGGAGCAGCUGCCACCGCAGGCCUCGGAUGGAGACUCUUGACGCACAAGACGCCUGCGCCCAGUGCCAUGGUCAAAGCUGCUGAUUUUGCUUCUUUGUUUACCCAUGUGUACGCUUUUAUUGCUGUUAUUCCGUUUGCAGUUGUGGCUUCCAAGGCUCUGAAUUCUCAAGUAAUGAGCUGA
rnacentral:rRNA from 1 species